rnacentral:rRNA from 1 species
GACGAACGCUGGCGGCGUGCCUAAUACAUGCAAGUCGAGCGAAUGACGAGAAGCUUGCUUCUCUGAUUUAGCGGCGGACGGGUGAGUAACACGUGGGCAACCUGCCCUACAGAUCGGGAUAACUCAGGGAAACCUGGGCUAAUACCGGAUAAUCCUUCGAAUCACAUGUUUUGAAGUUGAAAGGCGCUUCGGCGUCACUGUAGGAUGGGCCCGCGGUGCAUUAGCUAGUUGGUGGGGUAACGGCCUACCAAGGCAACGAUGCAUAGCCGACCUGAGAGGGUGAUCGGCCACAUUGGGACUGAGACACGGCCCAAACUCCUACGGGAGGCAGCAGUAGGGGAUCUUCCACAAUGGACGAAAGUCUGAUGGAGCAACGCCGCGUGAGUGAUGAAGGUUUUCGGAUUGUAAAACUCUGUUGUAAGGGAAGAACAAGUACGUUAGGAAAUGAACGUACCUUGACGGUACCUUAUUAGAAAGCCACGGCUAACUACGUGCCAGCCGCCGCGGUAA